rnacentral:rRNA from 1 species
CCUACGGGUGGCAGCAGUGAGGAAUAUUGGUCAAUGGGCGCGAGCCUGAACCAGCCAAGUCGCGUGAGGGAAGACGGUCCUAUGGAUUGUAAACCUCUUUUGUCGGGGAGCAAAAGACGCCACGCGUGGCGUUCCGAGAGUACCCGAAGAAAAAGCAUCGGCUAACUCCGUGACAGCAGCCGCGGUAAUACGGAGGAUGCGAGCGUUAGACGGAUUUAUUGGGUGUAAAGGGUGCGCAGGAGGAAGAGCAAGUCAGCGGUAAAAUUGAGAGGCUCAACCUCUUCGAGCCGUUGAAACUGGUGUUCUUGAGUGAGCGAGAAGUAUGCGGAAUGCGUGGUGUAGCGGUGAAAUGCAUAGAUAUCACGCAGAACUCCGAUUGCGAAGGCAGCAUACCGGCGCUCAACUGACGCUCAUGCACGAAAGUGUGGGUAUCGAACAGGAUUAGAUACCCGGGUAGUC